AUCAACAAUUACAAGUGUAUCAAUUGCCAGUUCACAUUCUAGUGGAGGAACUGUGAUAGAAUCUCAGGUCUUGAGUGAGAGAAACUGUGGUCUGAAACAAGCUUUACCAUGUCAAACAAGUGAUACUGGUGAUGCAAGUAAUAUUGUUGAUGAUGAUGGCAAGAGUAAACCAAGAACAGAGAAAGUUGAUUUGGUUUCAAGCUGUAAGAUUGCCCCAAUCCAUGAUUCGUAUGGUAAGAUUGAUGCUAACCGGAUUAGAGAGGCAUUGAGGCGGAGGAGACGUGAAGGAGCUGCAAAUCAAAUGUCCAAUAAAAUCAUGAAUACUGAAUUAGAUAGUGAAGCCUGGAUAGAGAGGG
rnacentral:misc_RNA from 1 species